CCAUCUUUAUAGUCAAAUAAUUACCUUCAAACAAUAGAAAUUGAAACCAUCUGGCUAAACACACCGAGAUUAAAAAAAUGAAAAACAAGCAUUUGGGGAAUUCACAAAAUUAAUUGAAGAAUGCACGAAAUACCAAAAAAAAUUAUCAUUUUCGUUAAUCAUUUGCCAUAAAAACAACAAAAAUGUGCUCAUGAUUGGGCUCUUCCUUGGCAGCGGACUCAACAACUUUGGUAGUAGGUUCCGGCUUCAACUUCAAGAGUAGCUUCGGGUUCUGCUUCCAGAGCUAAAACAGGUGGCGUUCUGUGUUUGUGAGAAUUUGUGUGUGAAUGAAAAUGUGGGCCUUGUGUAGAGCUUUGGUGAAGGAAAAUAUAGUAGAGUUUUAGUGAAAGAAAAGAGAAGAGCUUCGAUUUUAAGGAAAAAGCAGAGGAUGGAGAUUAUGCUUGGUAGUCAAGUGAGGAUAAGUUGAGACCAUCUGCUAUUUUUUGAAUUUUUUUUUUUAUUAUCUUUUUAAUUUUUUAAUUGUUAAAAUGAAGAGAGAGUGAAGAAGCAAAACUGAACAUAUCUCUCAGUUGUCUUGACACUUACCAUUUUCGUUUCUCUUAUCUCAAAGAAAAUUAAAUGCUCUUGAAGCAUUGCUUUCUUUUCACUCAUUCCUUGUCCCGCGUGUGUCAUUC
rnacentral:lncRNA from 1 species